rnacentral:rRNA from 1 species
GGACCCGCACAAGCAGCGGAGCAUGUGGUUUAAUUCGAAGCAACGCGAAGAACCUUACCAGGGCUUGACAUCCCGAUGACCGGUACAGAGAUGUACCUUCUCUUCGGAGCAUUGGUGACAGGUGGUGCAUGGUUGUCGUCAGCUCGUGUCGUGAGAUGUUGGGUUAAGUCCCGCAACGAGCGCAACCCCUGUUUUUAGUUGCCAUCAGGUAAAGCUGGGCACUCUAGAGAGACUGCCGGGGAUAACUCGGAGGAAGGUGGGG